UUACAAUGGAGAGUUUGAUCCUGGCUCAGGAUGAACGCUAGCUACAGGCUUAACACAUGCAAGUCGAGGGGUAACAUGAAGAAAGCUUGCUUUCUUUGAUGACGACCGGCGCACGGGUGAGUAUCGCGUAUCCAACCUGCCCAUAAGUAGGGAAUAGCCUUGCGAAAGUAAGAUUAAUGCCCUAUGGUUUCCGUUAAAGACAUCUGAGAUGGAAUAAAGAUUUAUCGCUUAUGGAUGGGGAUGCGUCUGAUUAGGUAGUAGGCGGGGUAACGGCCCACCUAGCCGACGAUCAGUAGGGGUUCUGAGAGGAAGGUCCCCCACAUUGGAACUGAGACACGGUCCAAACUCCUACGGGAGGCAGCAGUGAGGAAUAUUGGUCAAUGGACGGAAGUCUGAACCAGCCAAGUAGCGUGCAGGAUGACGGCCCUAUGGGUUGUAAACUGCUUUUUUAGGGGAAUAAAGUUAGCCACGUGUGGUUAUUUGCAUGUACCCUACGAAUAAGGACCGGCUAAUUCCGUGCCAGCAGCCGCGGUAAUACGGAAGGUCCGGGCGUUAUCCGGAUUUAUUGGGUUUAAAGGGAGCGCAGGCCGUUUGGUAAGCGUGUUGUGAAAUGUCCGGGCUCAACCUGGGCACUGCAGCGCGAACUGCCAGACUUGAGUGCACAGGAAGCGGGCGGAAUUCGUGGUGUAGCGGUGAAAUGCUUAGAUAUCACGAAGAACUCCAAUUGCGAAGGCAGCUCGCUGUAGUGUUACUGACGCUAAAGCUCGAAAGUGCGGGUAUCGAACAGGAUUAGAUACCCUGGUAGUCCGCACGGUAAACGAUGGAUGCCCGCUGUUUGCCCUUCGGGGUGAGUGGCUAAGCGAAAGCGUUAAGCAUCCCACCUGGGGAGUACGCCGGCAACGGUGAAACUCAAAGGAAUUGACGGGGGCCCGCACAAGCGGAGGAACAUGUGGUUUAAUUCGAUGAUACGCGAGGAACCUUACCCGGGCUUGAAUUGCAGAUGACGGAUCUAGAGAUAGUGACUUCCUUCGGGACAUCUGUGAAGGUGCUGCAUGGUUGUCGUCAGCUCGUGCCGUGAGGUGUCGGCUUAAGUGCCAUAACGAGCGCAACCCUUCUCUUCAGUUGCCAUCAGGUAGAGCUGGGCACUCUGGAGACACUGCCACCGUAAGGUGUGAGGAAGGUGGGGAUGACGUCAAAUCAGCACGGCCCUUACGUCCGGGGCUACACACGUGUUACAAUGGCCGGUACAGAAAGUCGGAUGCCCGUAAGGUCAUUCUAAUCAAGAAAGCCGGUCCCAGUUCGGACUGAGGUCUGCAACCCGACCUCACGAAGCUGGAUUCGCUAGUAAUCGCGCAUCAGCCAUGGCGCGGUGAAUACGUUCCCGGGCCUUGUACACACCGCCCGUCAAGCCAUGAAAGCCGGGGGUGCCUGAAGUCCGUGACCGCAAGGGUCGGCCUAGGGCAAAACUGGUAAUUGGGGCUAAGUCGUAACAAGGUAGCCGUACCGGAAGGUGCGGCUGGAACACCUCCUUUCU
rnacentral:rRNA from 1 species